AGACGGCCCUAUCCCUGUCUCCCUUGGCUGACUCUCUUUUCGGACUCAGCCCGCCUGCACCCAGGUGAAAUAAACAGCCUUGUUGCUCACACAAAGCCUGUUUGGUGGUCUCUUCACACAAACGCGCAUGAAAUUUGGUGCCAUGACUCGGAUCGGGGUACCUCCCUUGGGAGAUCAAUCCCCAGUCCUCCUGCUCUUUGCUCCGUGAGAAAGAUCUACCUAGGACCUCAGGUCCUCAGACUGACCAGCCCAAGGAACAUCUCACCAAUUUCAAAUCUGGACCCCACUGAAAAUCGGACUGUUCAACUCAUCUGGCAGCCACUCCCAGAGCCCCUGGAACUCUGGCCCAAGCCUCUCUGACUGACUCCUUCCCAGAUCUUCUCGGCUUAGCAGCUGAAGACUGACACUGCCCAAUCGCCUUGGAAGCCCCCUAGACCAUCACGGAUGCCGAGCUUCGAGUAACUCUCACAGUGGAGGGAACGCGCAUGAAAAAACCAAACAAACAAAAAAAUUUCUUUUGGUAGCAGAAUAAAAAAACAAAAAAAAGGACUUUUUCUUCUGGACUGAACUAUAUUUAAAUCUCAAAGGAUGGACAUCUCACAACCUUCCUACAGCAAGUACUGUGAGGUAAUAAUUGAUAUAUUAAUUAUUAAAAUUAUUGAAGCUGGAACUCAGAUUUCCAUUUUAUAUUUACAUAUAUAAUUAUUCUAUUAAUGGAUUCUAGCUUAAAUAAAGAGAAGCAACAUGAGUCAUUGGGGCAAGGGGUGAGAUCGAUGACCUCUGGAGAUUGAUCCCAGUGUUCUGACAGAGUUAGCUUCUGUUAUCAGGUGCUAUAGUUUUUCAUAGUGAUGCUGAUAGAGCCUACUCAAGGAUUGGACUCAUUCUUUUGUUCCAUGAAUGCCAAUUCUGCAGAAGCCACUGUGGUAGAAAUUCAAAUGUAAUGAAAAACAAACAUUCACUCAUUUAUUAUCACUAUUUGCCUGCCACAAAGACAGAUUUUGAGGAAGAUAAACAAAUAAAAACGUGUUUGCCAUUUGAAGGGAAA
rnacentral:lncRNA from 1 species